rnacentral:rRNA from 1 species
AUACGGAGGGGGUUAGCGUUGUUCGGAAUUACUGGGCGUAAAGCGCACGUAGGCGGACUGGAAAGUUGGGGGUGAAAUCCCGGGGCUCAACCCCGGAACUGCCUCCAAAACUUCCAAUCUAGAGAUCGAGAGAGGUGAGUGGAAUUCCAAGUGUAGAGGUGAAAUUCGUAGAUAUUUGGAGGAACACCAGUGGCGAAGGCGGCUCACUGGCCCGAUACUGACGCUGAGGCGCGAAAGCGUGGGGAGCAAACAGGAGUAGAAACCCCAGUAGUCC